AGCAUAGUGUGGGUGGGUGUGUAGGUGUGGGUUUGCGUACACAUACACACACACACACACACACACACACACACAUGUA